AACGCGAAGAACCUUACCUGGGCUCGAAGCGCAGUGGAAUCCGGUGGAAACAUCGGCGCCCGCAAGGGCCGCUGCGGAGGUGCUGCAUGGCUGUCGUCAGCUCGUGUCGUGAGAUGUUGGGUUAAGUCCCGCAACGAGCGCAACCCUUAUCUCUAGUUGCCAUCGGGUCAAGCCGGGCACUCUAGCGAAACCGCCUGGGAUAACCAGGAGGAAGGUGGGGAUGACGUCAAGUCCUCAUGGCCUUUAUGUCCAGGGCUACACACGUGCUACAAUGGUCGGUACAAACCGUCGCAAACCUGCGAAGGGGAGCUAAUCGGAAAAAGCCGGCCUCAGUUCGGAUUGGAGUCUGCAACCCGACUCCAUGAAGCUGGAAUCGCUAGUAAUCGCAGAUCAGAACGCUGCGGUGAAUACGUUCCCGGGCCUUGUA
rnacentral:rRNA from 1 species